rnacentral:pre_miRNA from 1 species
AAGACACCUUUCUGGGACAAGACUUGCUUGCUUCAGUGGGGCUUUGGUGCUCACUGAGUCUGCCCCCUGAGUGUGUCCUU